rnacentral:piRNA from 1 species
UCAACAGGCUCAUUGAAAGUAAAAA